GACACUGUGGCCGAGUGGUUAAGGCGAUUGACUAGAAAUCAAUUUCUGUUUCAGAGCGCAGGUUCAAAUCCUGCCGGUGUCG
rnacentral:tRNA from 1 species